rnacentral:piRNA from 1 species
UCGAAAGUCCUGGACACUCCAACGUUUC